AAUCCGUGACUGCCUGUGCGCUGUAAGUGCGACAAAUUUUGUUAAAUAAGUUUGAUAAUCGUUAUCAAAGUAGAAUAUAUUUUCUAAUUAUUCCUCUACACCUAUGCUAUUGAAAUAUAGUGUGUUCCUAGUCGUAUUCCUUGGAUAAAUUUUUGUCAAUCCUAGUCGAGUGUUUUAAGCGAACUUUUAUUUUUUUUUGUCAUGGCCGAUAUACUCGAGUGUAUUUACAGCCGGAUCGUGUCAGUGUGCGAUGGUAAACGUCAAUUGUACUCAACAAUUCGUUAAGAGCUGGUGAAGUUGCUAGUGUCAAGCAACGUGAAACAUGGGUGACGAUAAUAAUGGGCAGACGAACGGGUGUCGAUGCGGAGAUAGACGCUACUAUUAGCGAGCUGGAAGUGCUCGUCGCGUCGGAGGUUGAAAGGGAAGACGAGGGGGAGGGGAAGGAGAAUAUAUACGACGGAAGGUCUGCGACGAGAAUGGAAUCGCGGCACCCACGCAAGAAUCGUCUACGUAGCAUCGUCGGGAUAUGCCUGUUCCUUGCGCUGACCGGGAUCAUUUACCUGGGCUACUUCUGCCCUGAUCACGUGUGCGCUUUGACAAACCGCGAGAUUAGGGAGUCUAUUGGAUUGUCAGAGAGCCUGUCCAUCCCUGGGUCACCUGUCGCUGGUUCCGCUGCGCUCUCUUCAGUUUCCAUCGAGCUUGAUAGAAAUGGUUUGCUCUCAGUGCAUCCCGCCUUCAAGCUACAGAGCAUCCAGGGUAGUCUAGGCUAUGAUGACAUCUUUGCCAAUGACACCUUUCAAUUUGAUAUCAACGCUCACGAUGUUAUGGUCUUCCUUCACAUACAAAAAACAGGUGGCACACUAUUUGGCAAACAUCUGGUGCGAGAUUUAGAAUUACAAAGACCAUGCUCAUGUCAACGACGACGCAAGCGUUGCUUCUGUUUCCGUCCAAAUCAUAACGAAAAUUGGUUAUUCUCACGAUACUCUACCGGCUGGAAGUGUGGAUUACAUGCGGAUUGGACCGAAUUGACAAAUUGUGUUGAUACGGAACUUAAUAAAAUUGAAGGAGAUGGAAUUAAGCGCCGUUACUUUUACAUAACUAUCAUAAGGGAUCCCGUUGCAAGAUAUCUCUCUGAGUUUAGGCACGUGCAGAGAGGUGCUACAUGGAGAGGUGCUCGUCAUUGGUGCGGAGGUACUCAAGCAAAUAUACCUCAGUGUUACGAUGGUCCCAAUUGGAAAGGUGUUACCCUGGAAGAGUUUAUGGAAUGCCCCUACAAUUUGGCAAGAAAUCGUCAAACGAGAAUGCUGGCAGAUCUAUCGAUAGUUGGCUGUUAUAACUCCACUCUUAGCAAAACUGAUAAAGAACGUCUAAUAUUAGCUAGUGCUAAACACAACUUACAAUUUAUGCCUUUCUUCAUGCUGACUGAAUACCAGAAGGUGGGGCAGUACACCUUUGAAGAAACAUUUAAAAUGCGAUUUGCGGUUGCAUUUGAGCAGCAUAAUGCCACACUUAGUGCAGCCACUAUGGCAACCCUCAGUAUAGAACAAUUAGACGCCGUACGUAAACUCAACAGUCUGGACCUAGAACUCUACGAAUUUGCAAAGAAUCUUGCUUUUCAAAGAUUUAAACGGCUUAGAGAUCGUGAUCCACAUUUCGUACAACGAUUCCAACACCUUGGUGAAUUGCCAUCGAGGCAAAGUGCCACAGAAUUUAAUUGGGAUUCUGUCAUUGAAGAUACCACGGAUAACGAAUGAUGUAUUAUAUUACAAGAUAAUAAUAUUCAGUAAUAAGAUGUGAUGUCGUAACAUCCCUUCAUUGAAAGACGAGAAAGAAUUGAGUCCACACACAGCAAAGUAAAAAUACAAAGAAUAUAACGUCAUUGGUUAACAUGUCUAACAAUCAACAUGGAAAAGAUACAAAUUAGGAACAAUGAAAAGAUGCGAUAAACAUAAAACUGUGUUAGUUAAUCCAAUAACAGUUCCUUUUGUGUUCCUGUGGGAAAUCGGAUAUUGUGAAUGAAAAUUAAGAAGUCUGCUCGAAAAGAGACUGCGAUGCCUCAUAUGUGGAGCAGAUAAAACAACAGACAACUACAAACAAGAAACAUAAGAAUAACAGCAGUCAAAAUCCAUCAUAACAAUCUAUGAUUACAGGAAAAAUUUAAUCAAUAAUUUAAGUGAAAAUUGACCGAGAAAUGUUCAAAUACAAAUAAGAGAAGAAUAUCAUUGUCAAAAUCAAAUUUUUAAGAUAUGUUACUUUUGAUUUGCUGUACACUUACUGUAAAGAAGAACUUCGUGAUGCAGACAUCUAACUUGUGGCAAAACAACACUUUUUUUGCCAAAUUCGUUCAUUUCAUUCAAGAACGCGUCGAGCCUAAUUUCAUCAAAAUUGAGAAAGAAUGACAAAGAGAGGUAACCGCGCAGGUAGGCGGAUGCAGGUAACGAAGCUAUACAAAAGAUUGAUAGCUUCUGAGAAGUUUGACUCCUCCGUUUUCCUCGGGAUCCCUCCGGAAUCACGCCAUGGCCCAGCAACUCACGGCUCCCUCCGUUGGAGCAUCUCUUGCCCCUUCACGAUUCUAAGAUCACUACUGAAGAACCGCGAUCUGCAAGGAAUUAAACGCCAAACAGCAUCACGAAGGCCAACUUCUCCGGUCCUUGCCGCCGAGCCACGCGCCUCUACGGCCGUUUCUUGUCAAGUCCCGAAGGCCCUCAAAAUCUCGCGACGACCCCCUCAAGUCGUGUCUAAUAUCCCCGUCAAUAAUUGGACGGUAACCCACGUACCAGCAAAAUAUGUAGUGAAUAAAAGUGUAGAAAUA